GGACGCCCUAGUUGGAUCUACAUGUUUCCUGGCAUAUAUGAUUCACCCACCAACCCCACUUCAUAUUCACUGGGAAACAGAAUACCCCAAAUUUGGUGCAUGAAGAGAAAUGGCUGGAGGAUGGCUGGCAUUUAGUGGGUAGAGGCACAGAUUUUACUAGACACUAGAUGCUAUGCAGGACAUCUGACUACAACAAAGAAUUAUCUGGUUCAAGUUGUCGACAGUGCUGAGGCUCAAAGAAUUUGCUGUGAGUAACACAUUCGUGUUUGUCUUUGAAAUAGUAAUCCAACUCAUAUGCUUUCUUUAAAUUCUAAGACUCAUUAUGUA
rnacentral:lncRNA from 1 species